AUUGAACGCUGGCGGCAGGCCUAACACAUGCAAGUCGAGCGGAGCGGCGGACGGGGGUGUAAUGCCUAGGAAUCUGCCUGGUAGUGGGGGAUAACGUCCGGAAACGGGCGCUAAUACCGCAUACUAUCAGAUGAGCCUAGGGCGGAUGUGCUAGGUGGUGGGGUAAAGGCCUACCAAGGCGACGAUACGUAACUGGUCUGAGAGGAUGAUCAGGCACACUGGGACUGAGACACGGCCCAGACUCCUACGGGAGGCAGCAGUGGGGAAUAUUGGACAAUGGGCGAAAGCCUGAUCCAGCCAUGCCGCGUGUGUGAAGAAGGUCUUCGGAUUGUAAAGCACUUUAAGUUGGGAGGCGUUACCAACAGAAUAAGCACCGGCUAACUUCGUGCCAGCAGCCGCGGUAAUUC
rnacentral:rRNA from 1 species